rnacentral:rRNA from 1 species
UACGAAGGGGGCUAGCGUUGCUCGGAAUCACUGGGCGUAAAGGGUGCGUAGGCGGGUCUUUAAGUCAGGGGUGAAAGCCUGUGGCUCAACCACAGAAUGGCCUUCGAUACUGGGACGCUUGAGUAUGGUAGAGGUUGGUGGAACUGCGAGUGUAGAGGUGAAAUUCGUAGAUAUUCGCAAGAACACCGGUGGCGAAGGCGGCCAACUGGACCAUUACUGACGCUGAGGCGCGAAAGCGUGGGGAGCAAACAGG